UUUUUACAGGCUUUCAUGUGAUUUCAUAAGUCAAAAUACAUCCAUCAAUGCUGUCCAUUGACUGACUGAAAGCUGCGGUCCAUCAUGCUGAGUAAAUUCACACACAGAGUAAAUAAAAAGUCUUACCUGUUCGUUU